rnacentral:rRNA from 1 species
ACGCUCGACACCUACGGGAGACAGCAGUGGGGAAUAUUGCACAAUGGGGGAAACCCUGAUGCAGCGACGCCGCGUGAGUGAAGAAGUAUUUCGGUAUGUAAAGCUCUAUCAGCAGGGAAGAAAAUGACGGUACCUGACUAAGAAGCCCCGGCUAACUACGUACCAGCAGCCGCGGUAAUCUGAGCGGGCUGGCAAGGC